rnacentral:lncRNA from 1 species
UGAACUCUUUCCUUCAGUCAGUAUUCGGGUAUUAAAACCUAAACUGAACUUUUUCCAUUCAGUCAGCAUUAGUGUUUUAAACUCUAAACUGAACUCUUUCCAGCCAGUCAGUAUUAGGGUUUUAAACCCUAAACUGAACUUUCCCUUUAGUCAGUAUUAGGGUUUUAAACCCUAAACUAAACUCUUUCCUUCAGUCAGCAUUAGGGUUUUAAACCCUAAACUGAACUAUUCCAGCCAGUUAGUAUUAGGGUUUUAAACCCUAAACUCAACUCUUUCCUUUAGUCAGCAUUAGGGUUUUAAACCCUAAACUGAACUUUUUCCAUUCAGUCAGCAUUAGAGUUUUAAACCCUAAACUGAACUCUUUCCUUAAGUCAGCAUUAGGGUUUUAAACCCUAAACUGAACUCUUUCCUUCAGUCAGUAUUAGGGUUUUAAACCCUAAACUGAAAUUUCUCUUUAGUCAGCAUUAGGGUUUUAAACCCUAAACGGAACUCUUUCCUUCAGUCAUCAUUAGGGUUUUAAACCCUAAACUGAACUUUUCCAUUCAGUCAGCAUUAGGGUUUUAAACCCUAAACUAAACUCUUUCCUUUAGUCAGCAUUAGGGUUUU